AGCAAGGUAAACUACUGGUAAGUUGUUAGACUCAUAAUCUAAAUAAGGCAGUUCGAUUCUGCCCCUUGUAA
rnacentral:tRNA from 1 species